UACAGAGGGGGCAAGCGUUGUUCGGAAUUACUGGGCGUAAAGGGCGCGUAGGCGGCCUUCUAAGUCGAACGUGAAAUCCCCGGGCUCAACCCGGGAACUGCGUCCGAUACUGGAAGGCUUGAAUCCGGGGAGAGGGAUGCGGGAAUUCCGAGGGUGUAGCGGUGAAAAUGCGUAGGAUAAUCUGGAGGAACACCGGUGGCGAAGGCG
rnacentral:rRNA from 1 species